rnacentral:rRNA from 1 species
UACGGGGGGGGCAAGCGUUGUUCGGAAUUACUGGGCGUAAAGCGCGUGUAGGCGGCCACGCAAGUCGGGCGUGAAAUCCCACGGCUCAACCGUGGAAGUGCACUCGAAACUGCGUCGCUAGAGUCCUGGAGAGGAAGGUGGAAUGCUUGGUGUAGAGGUGAAAUUCGUAGAUAUCAAGCGGAACACCGGUGGCGAAGGCGGCCUUCUGGACAGUGACUGACGCUGAGACGCGAAAGCGUGGGGAGCAAACAGG